CUCCUACUCCCUCUGUUCUGAAUUACUUGUCGCAGGUAUGGAUGUAUCUAGAUGUAUUUUAGUUCUAGAUACAUCCAUUUUUAUGAAGAGUAAUUUGGAACGGGGGGAGUAUAUA
rnacentral:pre_miRNA from 1 species